rnacentral:lncRNA from 1 species
UUGUAGGGGGGUGCAGAUAUUUAAUAGAUCUAAUAGAUUUAUUAGAUUUCUAGUUAAUCUAUUUUUAUUUGUGCGUGGAUAUUUCUUAAAUUUUGUUUCAAUAUCUUUUAAUGAUUUACUUUUUUCGUACGAUAUAUUCAUUAAUUAUUUUAUCCUGUAGUAAUUGCAGAGUUACAAAUUUCUGUAUAAUAAUUUAUCCUAUCUG